UAGGGAAUCUUCCGCAAUGGGCGAAAGCUUGACGGAGCAACGCCGCGUGAGUGAUGAAGGUCUUCGGAUCGUAAAACUCUGUUAUUAGGGAAGAACAAAUGUGUAAGUAACUAUGCACGUCUUGACGGUACCUAAUCAGAAAGCCACGGCUAACUACGUGCCAGCAGCCGCGGUAAUACGUAGGUGGCAAGCGUUAUCCGGAAUUAUUGGGCGUAAAGCGCGCGUAGGCGGUUUUUUAAGUCUGAUGUGAAAGCCCACGGCUCAACCGUGGAGGGUCAUUGGAAACUAGGAAACUUGAGUGCAGAAGAGGAAAGUGGAAUUCCAUGUGUAGCGAUGAAAUGCGCAGAGAUAUGGAGGAAAACCAGUGGCGAAGGCGACUUUCUGGUCUGUAACUGACGCUGAUGUGCGAAAGCGUGGGGAUCAAACAGG
rnacentral:rRNA from 1 species